GGGGGGGGGGGGGGGGGGGGGGGGGGGAGGGGGGGGGGGCGGGGGGGGGGGAGGCGGGGUGGGCUGGGGGGAGCGGGGGCCGGGUGGGGAGCGCGGGGCGAACCGAGCGAUAAGAGUGGGAUACCUGCGGGACACCGGCUCUACGACCGGAUGGUAUUUUGAACCGCUUGGGUCAAGCAUGAAAGACGUGCUUGCUGUCACUGAUAGAUGGACCCGAGCUGCAUUAGCUAGUUGUUAAGGGAACGGCUUACCAAGGCAACGAUGCAUAGCCACCCUGAGAGGGUGAUCGGCCACACUGGAACUGAGACAAGGUCCAGACUCCUACGGGAGGCAGCAGUAGGGAAUCUUCCGCAAAGGGCGAAAGCCUGACGGAGCAACGCCGCGUGAGUGAUGAAGGUCUUCGGAUCGUAAAACUCUGUUAUUAGGGAAGAACAUAUGUGUAAGUAACUGUGCACAUCUGGACGGUACAUAAUCAGAAAGCCACGGCUAACUACGUG
rnacentral:rRNA from 1 species